AGAUAUUGAAGACGAUAUUAAACCAAUCACACAUGAUGAAGAUGAUUGUACUUGCAUUGGAGAUUACGUUGACUUUUGGUUUGACAGUGUUCAUUGUUUUUGUAAAGAUCAUUCAGCAGAAAAAUUGAGUCCACCUGUUAUAAUGGUUUGUACUGGUACUGACAAGUUUGAAAAGGUUAAAGAUAGGCAAACAAAAUAUGAAGACAAAUUUCUUGACACUGUUGGCAAACAUACAAAAUUCAAUCACAGAAGAGGCAUCUACUUUCUUUCUAAUACACACUUUAAAAAAGAAGAUAUUGACGAAAUCAAUAGAUUAAGAAAACACAUUUCCAACAUUGCAUUUGAGAUGAAUUAC